GAAGCCAGAUGGCUACGAAAUUGCGUUAAUUAAUUCACAUGCAAGUUUAAUCCUUUACCAGUAUAGUAUGUUAUAUUUGUCUUGUUUAACGUAGACAUGAAAUGUUUAAUACCUUGGAUUUUAAAUGUUUAUUCAGUCUAAUUUCUUUAAAUUGAAAGUGAUGACAAAGGAGAGCACAAUGUCAAGACUAAACCAUACUAUUAAUAACUGUCUAUAUGACAAGCAUGAAUACACAAAUGCACACACAUCACAAACCAGGCAGAAAUCUGGAUAGCCUGUCAAAAGGUAGGUUCCCUUGAGACUUGUUUAAUACAAGCCCAACAGAUGCCCUGCAGCCUGCACAUCGCAGCCACAUACGCCCCAUACCCUGCAGAUAUCAAUUGCGAGAAGAAUGUGGUUGGUGCCUUCACAGAGGUUGAAGGCCCUGCCCAUCCAGCCAUGCCUAUGUAAACAGGCUGUCAUAUGGUAAGUAUUCACACUAUGAAUUAUGAAUAAAAGUUCGGCUUGUGAGGUUGCUCACGUUGCUUCCGUCCCACAGAUCCAAUGUAUGAAGGCAACCUGGAACACUCCCAACUGUGCAAAGGUACAAGGUUUGCCUGUGACUUAUCCUUCAUGGUUUUCCAAAUGUAAUAAAUUACUCAUAAUGUAUGCACCUUGGUAAAGCCACUGGUAAGUGAAGGCCUCCUCACUCCCAUGUCGGUCAUGCAGGGUUGUUUGACCAUACCUCACCCCUCUGGUCAGUAUGGGGUUGAUGAAGUUGGGGGCAUCCACAACCGGUUAAGAUAACACUCGCCACCAAUGUAAGCUGUGCUUUAGAAUCUAACUUAGGUUGUUAGCGACAGUUGCCAAACCAUUGUGGCACCAGUGAAUUUCUGCACGUUACUUUGUCUCAGCAAGAGCGAUGAAUGCACACCCCUGUAUUCAAGUGAACACAUGUUUUCCUAUGCAAAGGAUUUCACAUUAACACCUAACAUUUUUCUAAGGAAUAAACGAGACCUGUUGUGUUAUGGAACUGUGGUUCGUGUCGGUAUGAAUGGCAACCUGGAGGUAAAUUAUGGAACAUCGGAGUGGGGAGAGCAGCAUCAUACAUGGUUGGAACAUCAUUUGGCAUGAGAUUCAGUCAUGUGGGAAAGUCAUCUAAUCAAAAUCCUUCCACAAAUGGAACUAUAUGUACUGUAUAUAAAUAUCCUCGACCACUGAAAUUUACCUUUCCAUCAUGUUCCAUUGCAUUCUGGGAGACAGCUUCUUGUGACUGCCAAUCAGAGGUUCUUCUUGCCAUGGCUUACAUCAGAAUACAAAUGAUGACUUUGCCUCUCGGUAUGAUUUGAUAUGCACAUCUCUGCCUAAAUUCUAUUCAUCGGAUAUGACUGGAAAAUCCUAGCAAUGAGAGAUUGAGUGACCUUUUUCUUAUAAAUUAUUCAUCCCCUUAGUAUACACAAGUUGUAAUUACAGACUUAAGUAUUGCGUGCAAGCGAUUUUAUUGCUGCUCUGAAGGUUAUUAUAAAGUAUUAUUAUUAAGAUCUUGCCAUUUUUGUGACGUAAUUAAGUCUUUAUUAUGAAAUACCUUUUAAAUUUAGUUCCUUGAAUAUGGUGAUAUCAACGUGCUUUUCAUUUAAAUAUAUUAAUGGAUAACUUGUUUUAAACAUGUUAACAAGGUAGGUGGUAUAAAAACGUGUUUUAUGAAAAUACAGUUAUAAGAAAUGACAGUUGUCUUUAAUCACCAUUGUUUUUUCUUACACACUAUUAAUAAUGCAUAGAUUCAGGACAGUCAUAAAUGGUUGUUAACAUACUCUUUUAUUUAAUGAACAGAACUACAAUCCCCCAUCGUUCAUAAAAGCAAAAGGAACAAAGUGAUCGAGACUUGUUUUUAUUUUAUUUUAUUCCCUGAAACAGGUCCAAUGACACCAAAGAGACCAUUACAAAGUACACAACAUGACAUGUUGUUAAUUGUAGAAAUUAACUGUUUUAUUACCUAGACACACCUCUUCAACACCUCCACUGAAACUCUUACACAUUAAUGCAACCAAAUUACCGGUAAUAUUAUGUUCCGACUAGGUAAUCCUAUUGCUAAAGCGCUCAACUCAUAAUUGUAAGGUCGUGAUUUCAAAUCCCGGUCAACGCUCGACUCACCUUGUCAUAGCUCAGAAAUGAGUCUGACUUUAUCCACCACUUUGCGGGUGGUCAACAGUGAAUGAGUGGCUUCAGGCACAAGAAUGUGGAAUUUACGCAACUGUAUUGGAAGCGCUAGUGAAGAUUAGUGCUGUCCCAUCGCUCGUUUGAUCAUAGAUAAACGAAAGCACUGCACGUAUACAUUACAGUCUUAUCAUUUGAUCACUUGCAUUUUAUGCGCGAAAACAUAUUUUCUAUAAGUAAAUUAAAGCAAUUGCAUAGUUUGGCAAUUGCUACCAUUUUGACAUGCUGGCUGCAACACUUGAAAUGCACGUUUUCAUUUUCAUAAGAACCGUCCAUGGUAAUAGUGAUCGAUUGCAGGCUUUAAUCCUCCAGUGUGUUUUUGUUCUGAACGUUGUUCGGCGUGCUGUCUGACGUUUUCACUGCAUGCUCGUUUGCAGAUAUAUCACAUUAUCCAUGAUUGUGGCUGCCCUUGUACAACUGCAUAUCAGCAGAACGACAAUGUUUUUUUGUUUUCUCCUCUGAGGGUGUAAAGACAGAUUCGAUUAUCAACGAACGAAUAAAGCUCCCGCAUGUUGGCAAUUGUAUGAAUUAUGACAAUGUUUACAAAUGGGUGGAAAGGCUGCAGUCAGAUAGUGAACAGGAUUGACAUUAAGAAUAAUGUAGUAGGCCAGUUGAUGCUUAAACUCCAGUCAAUCUCCCUCAUGUUGGAAGUUUAUAUUGGAUGAUAGAUAAGUAGGAAUAUGCACAUAGUAGUGGCUAUAGGUUUAUGUGCAGGAACAGUUCAUUCAACAAUCCAUGACGAGUUGAAUUUUUUUUAUAAAGAGUGUGCCCGUUGUGUGCUAUAAAUAUUAACAGAAGAUCAUAAAUUAAACAUAAUUUACAUUUGUCAUGCCUUUUCCACCAGAUGUCUUACAUGAUAGCAAUGCAUUUUCGUUUUGCGUCAUCACUGCCAUUGAAUUUUGGACCCAUUAUUUUGAGCUUGGAGUAUAGGCCCCAGAGAGCUCAACGGACACACCAAGGCUCUCCAUUCAAGGAAAAAAAAAUCAAGUCUCCCGAACCUUCUGCUGCAAAGACAACGGCGCGACUCGCAUAACGGCUCGCGGAGCCGUCACGCUGCAGCCAAAGCGCGCGUUAACUCCAACUUGUCCUGCUUAUCGGGACCUAAAAGAAGCAGGCAGUGCAAGCCGACAACAGAUCAGAGAGCUAUCCAACACGACGGUAAAAACCUUCGCAGCAAUAUAAUACAUAUAUAAGCCGGAUAGGUCACAUAUAUUCAUUGCAGUCUUAUUUAUCUGCCUUGCAUACGUUUGAAAGUGUAUGUUCUUAUUGGCUGAAGAGAUAUGCAGCCUUCGGGGUUGUACUCUCGUUUAAGUUUAGGACAGGGAUAGAGUUUAUUAAGAAGACCGACAGUUUAAUCAGUGUUGAAAUCAUGAGUUUAAAUCCCGGUUAGAGUUAACCCAUCAUUUACUUUACUCUGGGCUUGAUAAAAUGAACAGCACUUGACUGUAGGAAGACUGCUGCGGUCUCUCUAUAGAUUUACUACAGACCUCGCGAUUGAAAAGUGACAUUUUCCACCAGUGAGUCACGACCAUCAGCAGGGAUGAAUGCAAUCCUCCCUUUCUUGUUUGCGCACGGGCACGCUUUACCUUUAAAACAUGAAGUAUGACAUUAUCAGAUAUGAAAUGUCUUAUAUACAUCACUAACGAUGGGUGUUAGUAUCCCAGAUGUAUGCAAAUUCCUGCAACAGAUUUGCACAAAGGUGGUUUGUUUUGUAAACAACAAUAUAUGUUAAAACAGUAUCCACCGUUCAGCAAUAAUAUUUUUUUGUUAUGCCAUUUCAAUUAUUUACACUCCACUGGUUACAAUGGCCAUUUGGCAGGCACUGUAUUCAAGCAAUUUAAUUAGUUUUUAUUCACCAUGGAAUGACGUGCAAUGCGCAAACACAUUAUGCUUGAUGAAUAUACAUAAAACGUUCAAUAUGGCUACUGUCAUUAGAUACGCCGAUCAAGAGAGCCGUUCACAAAUGUUGGCCUAUGGAUGUUGCCAAAUUAGAUUGGAAAUUCAAAGGAGUUCAGUUUCAUACACAUUUUGAUAGCCUUGUCGACCAUUAAAUAAUGUAACUAAUUAAAUAAUAUUCUCCAGAUGAUGGUGCAAAUGUAGUACUGUAUUUCACAUUAAAAUAUACCAGAUUGGUGUAAAUGUGAGUGUUUGUUGCAUUUAAGUCUCGAUUACUAUGGGUUGACAUAAUUUUCAAAGGUAAGAUAGAUUAUUUUAAUUGAACAGCGAGUGGUUUACAACUGAAAGUCUGCGAGUUAAAAUCCCGGUUGGCUGAUAAAAUAGGUACAAUUUUGUUGGAAAGUCAACAGUGAUUGUCCUACGCAGAGACUUACCCCCGUCAUAGGAAUGUGAAUUCCAACCAUCGAAUAAGAGUUAUAAACAGAAGAUGAGCACCGCCGUAAUGCUAAUUGGAGCAAGAAAUAACUUUGACUAAGAUUAAUAUGAAUUAAAUAUUUGUCUUUUGUAGAUUACGAAAGGCAUUUGGAUUCUGUGGAAAAUGAUGCGGACAUUCAAGCCUUCACAGAUCAAAGAUUUAGUGAAAUAUAGAUAUAAAUGAUCAAAAGCAUUUAUCGAUAUGGGACUGGUACAGAGAUUGCAUGCAGAAAGUAAGAGCAUGCAAAUUAGAAGAGGAAUCAGACAAGGACAUCGUUUUGACAAGGAUAUUCACAAUGCAUUUAGGAUUAUUUAAAUAACUACAUAAGCAUAAAUGGGGGAAAAGGAUUUAGCAUAUCAAAUGUUCUGACAGCAUAGCCAUUAUAUUAAUCAGUGCAAAUGAAUUGCAGGAAAUUACUCAAGAGCAUAACAAAGAGGGCUGCAAAGUUGGCUCAAGAUAAAUACAAGCAAAGCAGUAGUCAUGUAACAGCAGCUACCCUCAACAAAUGAAUUACAAUGCAGCAGAAUAACUAUGCCUAGGGCUAUUAUUUAAUGUGUAUCGGGAUUAAAUUGAUAAACUAAAGAGGUGAACAAGAGCAUAAUGGAGUACUUUUGGAAAACUGUAAUUGGCAAUGAAAAUCAAUGUACAAAUGUAAGUUUGGAAGAAAGUUUUCAAUUGCCUCUGAUGAUACAUGGAUCAAAACAUGGACAUUGACAAGAAAAUACAACAAAAGCUAAAAAGUAUGCAGAGAAGCAUGAAGAGAUGCAUGACUGAAAUUGCACUGAGGCAGGAAGAGAAAAACAUAUGUAUUUUAGAACAAACCACAAAUUAUAGAUCUUACAUUGACUAUUUGCAAAGUAAGUGGGGAAGGUAUGGUUGCUGAUGGAUGAGACUAGUGAUGGAAUGGAAGCCAAAGCAGAGAAUACACCCGAGAGGAUGAUUUCUGCAGAGAUGGAGUGAUACGAUCAGCUCGUGUGUAGGAGGAAGAUGGAUUGUGGCAUCACGUGGCUAUCGGGUGGCAACAACAUGGGAAGGCCUUCAUCCAAUGACGGAAAGAACACGGCUGAGGAUGAAUAAAAAUAUACAACUUUCUGCAUAAUAAAAUAGCUUUUUCCAACAUUAGCAUAUGCAAAGUUGAAUAUUAAUAACUAGUGGCAUAUUUGCUGUGGAGAUGGAGCAAUGAGAACAAAUUUCAUACGAGGGCACUCUCAGAAAAGGAUUUUAAUUUGUCUGAUUUUGCAGAAAAAAUGCGUUUAAGAAACAACACAUUGGGCAAUUGCAAAGACAGACUUGUGAAAUUACCAAUAUGGGUGUUUUCCAAUGAGACAUUUUGAGGCGCCUUAAGAAAACAUGUAUUUAUUUUUUGGUGUGCGUUUGCUCAUCUCUUAUAGCGUGUUAUAAGCGAAAUGGGGGAAAAAAAUGAUUGUGGAGUGAAAAUUGGUUUUGAAAAUCACACGAAAAAUUGUACCAGCAGAUGGCAGCAUUCAGCUAAUAACACUAACAAAAACAUGUUUUUGUUCCUGGAUAGUAAGUGUUAUUUUCCAAUUGCUUAUGCCUCAAAAGUACAGAAAAUGGCUAUUAUUCCCCACAAACUUUGCUUUUGUGACCAGGACACAAAAGCAAAGUUAAUAAUCCACUCCAUUAAUAACACUCUGUAACAAAUUUAUAAUGUUUUUUGUUCCUGGGUAGUAAGUAUUAUUUCCUCAUUGCUUAUGCCUCAA